rnacentral:rRNA from 1 species
UGGGGAAUUUUGCACAAUGGGGGAAACCCUGAUGCAGCGACGCCGCGUGAUUUAGAAGGCCUUCGGGUUUUAAAAAUCUUUUCUAUGGGAAGAAAAUGACAGUACCAUAGGAAUAAGGACCGGCUAAUUAUGUGCCAGCAGCCGCGGUAAUACGUAAGGUCCGAGCGGUGUCCGGAAUCAUUUGGCGUAAAGGGUACGUAGGCGGGUAAGCAAGUUAGAAGUGAAAUCCUAUAGCCCAACUAUAGUAAGCUUUUAAAACUGCUCAUCUUGAGUUAGGGAAGGGAAAGUGGAAUUCCUAGUGUAGAGGUGAAAUGCGCAGAUAUUAGGAGGAAUACCGGUGGCGAAGGCGACUUUCUGGCCAUAACCUGACGCUGAGGUACGAAAGCGUGGGUAGCAAACAGG